GACGAACGCUGGCGGCGCGCCUAACACAUGCAAGUCGAACGGAGCUGAGAGAAGCUUGCUUUUCUUAGCUUAGUGGCGAACGGGUGAGUAACGCGUGAGUAACCUGCCCUGGAGUGGGGGACAACAAGUGGAAACGACUGCUAAUACCGCAUAAGCCCACGAUCCGGCAUCGUAUUGAGGGAAAAGGAUUUAUUCGCUUCAGGAGGGAGUCGCGUCCCAUUAGAUAGUUGGGGAGGGAACGGCCCACCAAGGCGAGGUUUGGUAGCCGGACUGGGAGGUCGGAUCGCCACCUCUGGGGUGGGACCACGGCCCGACUACUACGGGAUGCAGCAGUGGGGGAUAAUGCACAAACGGGGGAAACAUGAUGCUGCGCGGUCGGGUGAAAGAAGAAGGUUUUAGGAUUGUAAAAUACCGUAGUUAGGUGCGAUCAUGACGGUACCUAACAAGAAAGCACCGGCUAACUACGUG
rnacentral:rRNA from 1 species